rnacentral:rRNA from 1 species
AGGGAAUCUUCCGCAAUGGACGAAAGUCUGACGGAGCAACGCCGCGUGAGUGAUGAAGGUUUUCGGAUCGUAAAGCUCUGUUGCCAGGGAAGAACGUCCGUUAGAGUAACUGCUAACGGAGUGACGGUACCUGAGAAGAAAGCCCCGGCUAACUACGUGCCAGCAGCCGCGGUAAUACGUAGGGGGCGAGCGUUGUCCGGAAUUAUUGGGCGUAAAGCGCGCGCAGGCGGCUGUUUAAGUCUGGUGUUUAAUCCUGGGGCUCAACCCCGGGUCGCACUGGAAACUGGGCAGCUUGAGUGCAGAAGAGGAGAGUGGAAUUCCACGUGUAGCGGUGAAAUGCGUAGAGAUGUGGAGGAACACCAGUGGCGAAGGCGACUCUCUGGGCUGUAACUGACGCUGAAGCACGAAAGCAUGGGUAGCAAAC